UAUAUAGCCUCUGAGGUGGGAAAAGCUAAAUUCCCAACUCCUUAUGAAAUCUCAAAUGUGUAUUUUGUAACGACCCAAAUUUAUUAUUCACUAUUUAAGUGUUUAAUUAUUUGGUGAUGUGGUUUUUAAGUAAGAUAGUAACUUUAAGUUAUUUAUCGAAAGUUUUAGUUAACGCGCGAGUUAGUGAGAGUUAACGUGAGUUGGGCCAAGCUAUUGGGCUUGAGGCCCAUUGGGCCUUGUGAGCUAGAGGGGGGCGCUAUUUAGCCCUUGUAGUGAGAGAAGAGUUCAUUUUUCUUGUUCUUGGGAGAAGUAGAGAGAAGGGAGAGCAAGAAGAGAGCUAGAGCAAGAGCUUGGAGGAGGGAUUCGAGGAGCAAUCUUCGUGAGUUCGUCGAUCCAAGGUAAGAGAGUAGAUUUCAUAAUCGUGGGUGACCCGAGGAAGGGGGGAAUGUCAAUUUCUCCUCACCCGAACUUCCUCCACCCCAUUUUUGUUUUAGUUUGGAAUGGAUUUUCUUGAUGGAAAUCGUUUCUAAGGUUCUUAAUAUGUUUAACAUGCUUUUAACAUGGUUAAUGAACGAAAAUAAUGGUUAAAAACGAGUUUAUGAAAGAUUAAACUCAAGAACUUUGUGUUCUUGAGAGUUUUGAUGAAAAAGUGUUCAAUCUUUACUUUUUCGAUGUUUAUGAUGUAGAUCUGAGAAAUGGACUAUCCUUUUGUG
rnacentral:lncRNA from 1 species